AAAAUUUAAAAUUAAUAUAAAGUCAAUUUUUUAAAAAUAAUUAUAAAGAAAAAAAAUCCCAAACCCCCACACUACCUCUACUUCUUCUCAGGUUGGUCCAUUGAUUUUUGACGCCCUGAGCAGAUAUAAAACUUGAGGCCUUUUAUGUUUGAACAAAAAUUAAAAUAGAUAGUUUCAAGCUUAGGUGCUAAGUUUGUUAGUUUAUGUAAAAG
rnacentral:lncRNA from 1 species